GGGAGGCUAGAGAUAGCAAGUCGGUAAUUAGUAAUAGGAUCUUUUCGCCAAGGAAUUGGGUUAAGGGUAGACCAAGAAAGUUUGCAUGACAAUAUGAUAAAUAAGCGAAUUAGAUAAGAAAAGUAGAUAUAAGAGGGUGGAUAAGAUGAAAUUGUAAACCCCAACAACUCCAUUAAUCCAUAUUUUUUUCUAGCCAAUUGAUUCACUGUAUUUGCAUGUUUACUUUUGUUUUUGCAUUCAAAACCUAAAUUUAAUUCUUUUCUCAAGUCUUAUGCUAUUAGGUUACACGAAAGUUAAGGCCUAAGAGUCCUUUGGGAAAUGAUACUUGGACUUACCCAUUUUAUAUU
rnacentral:lncRNA from 1 species